GAUGAACGCUAGCUACAGGCUUAACACAUGCAAGUCGAGGGGCAGCAUGAACUUAGCUUGCUAAGGCUGAUGGCGACCGGCGCACGGGUGAGUAACACGUAUCCAACCUGCCGUCUACUCUUGGUCAGCCUUCUGAAAGGAAGAUUAAUCCAGGAUGGGAUCAUGAGUUCACAUGUCCGCAUGAUUAAAGGUAUUUUCCGGUAGACGAUGGGGAUGCGUUCCAUUAGAUAGUAGGCGGGGUAACGGCCCACCUAGUCAACGAUGGAUAGGGGUUCUGAGAGGAAGGUCCCCCACAUUGGAACUGAGACACGGUCCAA
rnacentral:rRNA from 1 species